rnacentral:lncRNA from 1 species
ACAUUUUAAUGCAAGCCUAUUCUUGCAUUACGAAUAUGUGAUAUAAUUAAUAGUAACUGACAAAGAUGGAGUUAGUUAGGAUAAAACCAGGCCAGCAGAAGCACUGUCAAGUGAUAAGAGGAUUAUUUGCUGACAAAGGUGCCUGAACUGUGCAAGCUAAGGGUCCCAUGGGCAGAAUGUUCCUUGUAGGAAACCUGUAAACAGAUGCUUGAAUUGAUAAGUCAUGAAAGGAGGAACUGAUAAACAAUGAAGAAUCAACGGGAACUGGAUGAAAACAUCUGUAGAAUACAUGUUCUGGAAAAACAAGAAAGAAACUUUUAGGUGGAGAAUUCCAAAGCUGCAAAAAUGUAAACAAGAAGGAGGUCAGCCCUUGUUUGUCUAAGAGACUAAUUUUGUUUAGGAGGGACAUGGUGGUGCUGCAGGCUAAACCACAGAAGCCUCUGUGCUGCAAGGUCAGAAGACCAGCCGUCAUAAGAGCGAAUCCAUGUGAUGGAGUGAACUCCCGUCGCUUGUCCCAACUCCUGCCAACCUAGCAGUUCGAAAGCAUGUAAAUGAGAGUAGAUAAAUAGGUACCACCUCGAUGGGAAGGUAACAGUGUUCCAUGUCUAGUUGCACUGGCCAUGUAACCAUGGAAACUGUCUUUGGACAAAUGCUUGUCCAAAGUUCUAUGUUCUAUGGCUUGGAAACGGGGAUGAGCACUGCACCCUAGAGUCAGGCAUGACUGGAAUAAAUGUCAAGGGGAACACCCACAGAAACAUAGAGGCACACCCAUCUUCCUCAAGCCACUUUUUUUACCUGACCAGCUGCAGUAGGCAUAUUACAGCAAUAAGCAACAUGUCCAGAUCUUCACAGAUCAACACAGGUGAACACACUGAACAACAGAAGAUUGGCUAGCAGGAAAAGCUGCAAGGCGUCACAGACAGAUGGUGUCUGACCAGAGGCAGUUAAACUCCAGCACUGGAGGUCAACCAAAGGACAUUUUAACUACAGGAAAAACAUAUGAGCAAGACAUCCCCACAAUCAACUUUGUGCGGUGGUGGUGAGGAGUCAAGAUACAAAAUUGUAUAGGAUGUUGAAAUAAUCAAUGAUGAUGUAGAAAAAGCAGCUCAAUGAAAGUGCUUUUAAAAUUGAAGCUUAAAACAACAGUUUAUAAAAGUCAUUGCAAAACAGUUGGCUAGCUUUCCAGACGAGCAAGGUCACUGUACUAUAACUUUCCCUACAGUUUAAUAAAUGAUCGCAAAGCAUAAGCA